AUUUGGAAGACAAUCAUUUCAAAAUAAUUGUUAUUAGCCUACAAUUUUCCCUGUACAUUCAAAGAUUUAGCCUAUAUUAAUUAUUUCUCAAAAUAUGUAAUGUAACAAAUUAUUUUUGCUACUGUGGUAAUUAGGCCCUACAUGUUUCAAGUAUGUAGCUUUUGCAUCAUACACUUUUAGUUAGUUUUAUAUUUCAUGAAAUGUUCAUUAAAUCAUUGCACACAAAAAAAUUGCAAGUAAGCCUACUAGAAUACACAGUGUACAGUACAGUACUCUUUUAGGACAUGUUUCAAAGCAGUCCACCUUUGAAUGGGUGACUAUUAAACGCAUCCGUUGAAUAAACACAAGUCAUGUAUGUUUUUGUCCUCUGAAUAAAUAUUUAAGAGACAGAUUUGCUCAACAAGGAAUUGGUCACACAACCACAUAUAGAUAUAGGCCCUAGGUAAACAAUAUCAGCCUUUACAAAUUAAAGGUGCAGAGGCCCAGCUAUUGAGGUGGACCAUAUGUGUACACAAGGCAAACACUUCCUCCUGUACCACAACGGUCCAGAACUCUAAGCAGAGGGAGAAGUAAAACUUUCAGGGCCUACAUAUAACGACACUAUAACGUUUUCAUUUUGAAGAAGUGGACAGGAGCAAUUUUACAGCAGCACAUUUCCAACACAGCUCUGACUGCAGGAUUCAUAGACCGCAGAACUUGAACGGUUCAUACAUUACUUAACUCGCAGUCGCAUCACAGAUGUUGACAUGUUCAUGUUGGCCAUCUUUCCCCAGGUCCCAUCCCGUCUGCACUGCAACACGUGCUCCUCCAUCAUUUAUAUGCCCUCCUCACUCUUGUUGUUCAGUUGUUAUGGUAACCAACAGUUUGCUAGUUGUUGUUAGCAGCUAUUUAAUUUUAGCUAACUUAGUGUAGCUGACUGCUACUGCUUUCACAUAAGAGUGGUCUAUCUUGAUGAUUAUAGAUGCAUUAGCUUAUGUCAAUAUGGACACGGAUCCUUCAACGCGUUGGAAUGUACUUUUUGACAGCUUCAAACCCCAUAUUCCGUCUAUUGAUUCAGAUUCUUCAUCAUCAUCUGAAAAUGAAGAAGACAUAGCCAUCUUUCCCCGACCAGUAGCCCUUCUUCCUAAAAACACAGAGGGCCUAGAGUGUCUGUCAUUGGAGGACUCUGAAAUAGAGGAGCUUCUAAUAUCUGUGGCACAGCCACAACUGUGUUGGACAGAGGAGACCCUUUGCCCUCAUAGAGAGCCUACAACGGAACCCCAUGGAGUUUAUCAAGCCACUGAUUUAGCCCAGCAGGGCACCCACCAGGAGCCCAGUCCCAUAGGUAAUAAGGUAAAUGAGAUAUGCAGCCAUGACUCUAUUAGGAAUGCAGCUCGGGCAGGAGGCCAUCCAUGCAGCAACGUUCCUGUGGAGAUGAAAGGGGACACCUCAGCGCACCACAGCCAUGGCACACUAAACAGACAAAAACAACUGAGUCCACAUCGCCACACCCUUCACAUAACACAGCUUGUGAAGAAAACACAUUGGAGUCACUCAAUGCUUUGA
rnacentral:lncRNA from 1 species